rnacentral:tRNA from 3 species
GAGUCCGUAGCUCAGUUGGAUAGAGCGUCUCCCUCCGGAGGAGAAGGCCGUGCGUUCGAAUCGCGUCGGACUCA